CACAGCAGGAGGAAAGGAUGCUGGUUUGGUUGAUCCAAGGAGGAGACUAGUCAAUGGGUCCAACGACAGAUGAGUGUGCUGUGCUUUUGCCCUCACUCCUCAGUUAUGACACAGUGUUAUAAGCCUUCUGGAGUAAAGGAUACAUUUACACCUCCUAGAAUGCCACUGAUGGAUGCUCAUAAGUGGACAUUCAUACCUUGUGAUCCAAGUGUCUGGAGUGAUGAUGCUGCUGAACCCAGGAUGGACAGCCAGGAUCCUGAGUCUAUCCUCACCAUACCUCAUUCCUCCAACUUACUUAGGAAAGUACAGUGGUGAUAUAACUUGCCAACAAUAUUUGGCUAUUGGAAAUUUGGAAACAUGA
rnacentral:lncRNA from 12 species